rnacentral:rRNA from 1 species
CCUACGGGUGGCAGCAGUAGGGAAUAUUGCUCAAUGGGGGAAACCCUGACGCAGCAACGCCGCGUGGGGGAUGAAGGUUUUCGGAUUGUAAACUCCUGUUGUUAGAGAAGAUCAUGACGGUUUCUAACGGAUAAGCACCGGCUAACUCCUUGCCAGCAGCCGCGGUAAUACGGAGGGGGCAAGCGUUCCUCGGAAUCACUGGGCGUAAAGAGAGCGGAGGCGGGAUAGCAAGUCAGAUGUGAAAUCCUAUGGCUUAACCAUAGAAGUGCAUUUGAAACUGUUAGUCUAGAGUAUGGGAGAGGAAGGUGGAAUUCUAGGUGUAGGGGUAAAAUCCGUAGAGAUAAAGAGGAAUACUCAUUGCGAAGGCGACCUGCUAGAACAUAACUGACGCUGAUGCGCGAAAGCGUGGGGAGCAAACAGGAUUAGAUACCCCGGUAGUC